GUAUAGAUAGUUUAAUCAUAGAAUAGUGGUUUGUGGUGCUACAGGUGUAAUUGCAGUUAUUCUAGACC
rnacentral:tRNA from 1 species